rnacentral:rRNA from 1 species
GACGAACGCUGGCGGCGUGCUUAACACAUGCAAGUCGAACGGAAAGGCCCUGCUUUUGUGGGGUGCUCGAGUGGCGAACGGGUGAGUAGCACGUGAGUAACCUGCCCUUGACUUUGGGAUAACUUCAGGAAACUGGGGCUAAUACCGGAUAGGAGCUCCUGCUGCAUGGUGGGGGUUGGAAAGUUUCGGCGGUUGGGGAUGGACUCGCGGCUUAUCAGCUUGUUGGUGGGGUAGUGGCUUACCAAGGCUUUGACGGGUAGCCGGCCUGAGAGGGUGACCGGCCACAUUGGGACUGAGAUACGGCCCAGACUGCUACGGGAGGCAGCAGUGGGGAAUAUUACACAAUGGGCGGAAGCCUGAUGCAGCAACGCCGCGUGCGGGAUGCCGGCCUUCGGGUUGUAAACCGCUUUCGCCUGUGACGAAGCGUGAGUGACGGUAAUGGGUAAAGAAGCACCGGCUAACUACGUG